rnacentral:misc_RNA from 1 species
AGCAGCCGCGGUAAUUCCAGCUCCAAUAGCGUAUAUUAAAGUUGCUGCAGUUAAAAAGCUCGUAGUUGAAUUUCGGGACUAAUAUGUCGGUCGUGCCUCGGUACGUACUGGCUUAUUGGUUUCUCCUUUCUGAAGAACCAUGAUGUCAUUUAUUUGGUGUCGUGGGGAAUCAGGACUGUUACUUUGAAAAAAUUAGAGUGUUUAAAGCAGGCUCACGCUUGAAUACAUUAGCAUGGAAUAAUGAAAUAGGACGUUUGAUUCUAUUUUGUUGGUUUCUAGGAUCGACGUAAUGAUUAAUAGGGAUAGUUGGGGGCAUUAGUAUUCAAUUGUCAGAGGUGAAAUUCUUGGAUUUAUUGAAGACUAACUACUGCGAAAGCAUUUGCCAAGGAUGUUUUCAUUAAUCAAGAACGAAAGUUAGGGGAUCGAAGACGAUCAGAUACCGUCGUAGUCUUAACCAUAAACUAUGCCGACUAGGGAUCGGAUGAUGUU